GCAAGUCGAACGAUGAAGAGUAGCUUGCUACUCGGAUUAGUGGCGCACGGGUGAGUAACAUAUAGAUAACGUACCUCUUAGUCUGGGAUAGCCAUUGGAAACGAUGAUUAAUACUAGAUACUCCUUCUGAUUCUAAUUUCAGUCGGGAAAGUUUUUCGCUAAGAGAUCGGUCUAUAUCCUAUCAGUUAGUUGGUGAGGUAAUGGCUCACCAAGACAAUGACGCUUAACUGGUUUGAGAGGAUGAUC
rnacentral:rRNA from 1 species